rnacentral:lncRNA from 10 species
UACAGUACAAUUGCAGAAUGAAUUCAAAAGGGCAAGCCCCUAGCAAUGAUAAUGCUAAAUGGCUGGUGGAUGUAAAUAAUUAGUGGUCAAUAUAUUAUCCAUGAUAUGUGGCAAGUUUGAAAGUUGGAAAUGCAGAAUCCCUGUUCUGGUCAUAUUAUUGUACUUGGAUCUGCUGGGAACCAUUUGAUACUCUGGGAUUCUCAUUGAGAAUCCAGUGAUAGCUAAUGUUGAAUAUUGCUUGCUGCUGGGCAACAGUGACUGUCAAAACAUUCCGUCACCACUUUUUUUUUUCAGUUUAGAAAAAGGGUCUUGGAUGUUGCCUAGGCUGGCCGGAAACUCCUGAAGUCAAGUGAUUCUCCUGUCUUUGCCUUUAGUUCUGGAAGUACUGGGAGUGAACCUCUGCACCAGGAUUUCCCUCACCAUUUUCUAGUCACAAUGCUGCCCAGGCCCUAGUGCAGUGGUGUGAUCUUAGCUUACUGCAACAUCUGCUUCUGUGUUCAAGAGAUUCUCCUGCCUUAGCCUGUGGAGUAGCUGGAAUUACAGGUGC